rnacentral:tRNA from 16 species
UAGAGCAGUUUGGUAGCUCAUAAGGCUCAUAACCUUGGGGUUGCAGGUUCGAUUCCC